rnacentral:rRNA from 1 species
UACGGAGGGGGCUAGCGUUGUUCGGAAUUACUGGGCGUAAAGCGCGCGUAGGCGGACCUGCAAGUCGGGGGUGAAAGCCCGAGGCUCAACCUCGGAACUGCCUUCGAUACUGCGGGUCUCGAGUCCGGGAGAGGUGAGUGGAAUUCCUAGUGUAGAGGUGAAAUUCGUAGAUAUUAGGAAGAACACCAAUAGCGAAGGCAGCUCGCUGGGACGGUACUGACGCUAAGGCGCGAAAGCGUGGGGAGCGAACAGG